UGAACUUUUUCAAGACAAAAAAAAUAUGUUUAUCUUCGGAGCUCUGUAGAAAUCCUUUGAACAUUUUAUUGGCAUAUGUUUUAAAUAGCUGUACUGCAAAGGAACUUCCUUUGUUUAUUUCUAACUUGUGACUUCUGUCCUUCUCCUUAAGCGGCUGCUGACCUUUAUCUUUUCUUCAAGCUGUAAAAAAAACAAGAGAUAUUCUAAAUUAACCCAAAAUUUCCGACUUGGCAGAGCUGUAUCAGAGAUAUUGCCCUGAUGAAAAAAGGACACAGAUGAAAGGGACCCCUUAAGAAGAGAGAAGUAGGUUGGUGCAGGUGUCAGAGCAAGAUCAAAGGACAACAGACCAUCUUUAAAAAAUAAAACAGGAAAAUGACAAUCUGGAAUCUAGUCUUCAAGUGCUUUGAUAAUGACACCUACUUCGAGGAAAGCUUUUUGUGAAUUUUUGAUCCACAUAAAAUAAACACUCUCAAACACAUUUUGUAUUAAAAAUAAUUAUCCAUCAGGACGUUUAAAUAUUUUUUUAAUCACUGUAGUAUUAAUACUUAAAGAGAGUCAUGAUGACAUCUGUUUUCCAGAGACAUAGCUUCUUUAUGAGAAAUAUUACCUGUAUGUGAAAUUUAUCCAUGUAGAAACAAAGUUGAAUUAAAACAUUGUUUCUGCAAGUUACACUUUAGAUGGGAAGCUUAUAUUAUGCAACAAAAUAAAUUAAUGAAUGUAUAAAUUAAAAUGUGAAAAGUUCAAAGAAAAUAAGUCAAUUCUGGAAGAGAAUAUCACAGACAAAUUUGAUCUAGUAUGUGGAAGUAAAAGAAAUGAUACUUCUCCUGAGAUCAGAGGAUUGAGCAGGAGUUAACCAGUGACAGAAGGGAGCAGGAAGAGAAUCCUUGUUGGAGAGGGAAGUACAACCCUUGGAGGGAGGAAACCCAGAAAGAUGGCCAGGGUGGUUGGAGAGGAGAGAGGAAGGUGAAAAGAGAUUGGGAAUAAAGCUAGAGAGGUUAGCAAAGACCAGAUCAUGUAAUAGCUCCCCAUAGACCAUGCCAAAGAUAAGGGCCAUUAUUCUAAGAGCAACAUAAUAAUAAUUUUAAAAAGGUUAUAAUUGGGCUGUGAAGUGGGAGAAGAACUAGGGAUGUGAUAAGAUCAGAUUUACAUUUUGAAAGAGGUAGAUUACCAUAGAGGACAGGUUGGUCAGGGACUAGAAUAAAUUUUGGGAGGCCAGUUACUACAGAAAUCCAGGGUAAAGGUGAAGAUAAAUUGAUUAGAACAAAGGUAAUGUAGCUAGAGAAGUUAAUGAAAUUUAGAAGUGAUUAGCAUGUGAGUUGCCUGAAUUUGGUAAUUUCUUUGAUGUGAGAGGUGAUGGAUUGGGAGUUGUCAUUCAUCUUUGAUUUCCAGGUUAGGGGUUGAGCAAUUGGAUGGAUGAUGUGGCUGUUUACUUAGAUAUUGAAUACUGUAAGAAGGUUUGUGAGGAUAAGAGCAUGCUUCAGGGUAGGAUGUACCGACUGCAGAUCCUCUGAGAAAUGCACAUGGAAUGUUUUAUAUGUGGCCAAAGAUAAAAGCCUGGAAUUUAUGAGAGAGUUAAUUGUGAAGUAUUAAAUUAGUGAAACUGUGGAAAUGGAUGAAAUUAGCCUGCAGAAAGAGCAUAGUGUGGGAAGAGAUGGAAAGUAAAAAUAAGCCAAGAUGGCAACAUUUAAUGGCUGGAUUAAGGAGGAUGAGAUACCAAAGACAAAGGAGAAGGAAGUGCCAAAUAUGUAGGAAGAAAACAAAGAGAACAUAGUUCAGGAAGGACAAAGAAAAGAGUGCUGAAAGAAGUGAGUGGGCAGAAGUAUGUAGUGACUGAGGAAUCAGUAAGAGCAGGAUUAAAAAUAUUUUUUAAAUUUGGACCAGGCACGGUGGCUCACAUGUGUAAUCCUAGCAUUUUGGGAGUCUGAAGUGGGUGGAUCACUGGAGGUCAGGAGUUCAAGAACAGCCUAACCAACAUAGUGAAAACUUGUUUCUACUAAAAAUAGAAAACGUUAGCCAGGUGUGGUGGUGUGUGCCUGUAAUUCCAGCUACUCAGGAGGCUGAGGCAUCAGAAUCUCUUGAACCCGGGAGGUGGAGGUUGCAGUAAGCCAAGAUUUCGCAAGUGCACUCCAGCCUGGGCAACAGAGUGAGACUCCCAUCUUAAAAAUAUAUAUAUUUUUUUAAUUAAAAAAUUCAAAAUUGGUAAUCAGUAGAGCCAUUUUUGUUGACAUAUGCCUUUUAUCUCUGUCAAGUAAAUGUUUAGAAGUAGGAUUGCUGGGUCAUAUAAGUGUAUGUUUAACUUUAUAAGAUAUCGCAAGGUUACUUUCUAUUGCAGCUGUAUUAACCAUUCCACCAAAAAUACACAAGAGUUCCAGGUGCCCCACUUCCUCACAAACACCUGGUACUAUCAGUCUUUUUAAUUUUUUAAUGGCUUUAUCAAGGCAAACUUGACUCUAUUAGUUCUCACACUGCUGUAAAGAACUACCUGAGACUGGGUAAUGUACAAAGAAAAAAAGUUUAAUUGACCCACAGUACCACAGGCUGUACGGGAAGCGUGGCUGUGGAGGCCUCAGGAAACUUACAAUCAUGGCAGAAGGUGAAGGGGAAGCAAGGCAUGUCUUCAUAUGGCCAGCAAGAGAAAGAGGAGUGUGGGAAGUGGUGCUACACACUUUUAAACCACCAGAUCUCUUGAGAACUCUAUCAGAAUAACAGCAAAGGGGAAGUCCACCUUUGUGAUUCAAUCAUCUCCCACCAGGCCCCACCUCCAACACUCGAGAUUACAAUUCAACAUGAGAUUUGGCUGUGGACAGAGAUCCAAACCACAUCAUUGACAGACAAUAAACUGCACAUGUUAAAUUGUACAGUUCGAUAUAUUUUGACAUAGGUGACCUGUGGAACCAUUACCACAAUCGAGACAAUAUACAUAUUCAUCACCUCAGAAAUUUUUUUUUUGUAACUCCUUCCUCCCACUGCUCCCCUACCUCCACCAUCUCUGGUAACAACUAAUUUGCUUUCUCUCACUACACAAUAGUUAGCAUCUUCUAGCAUUCUGAAUAAAAGGACUAUACUUAAAUGAAUGCUCCCCUUGCCCAUUCUGUAUUACUAUGGAUAAGACUGUGUACUUAGAUUGUAAUAUUUUACAAACCUGUGUAAAAAUUGUGGCGGCCCAUAUGUGAAUUAAACUUUGAAGCAUUUUCACAUUCUCCAUGAUCCACAUAAUUUUAAGGUAAAAUACUUUUAUGUGCAGUGAAUAUGUUGUAUUUUUUAAACCAGAUACCUCGUUAUACAUUUUCGUCUUCUGCUAUUUUUGGAAAUUGUAAAGUGGAUUAUAACAAAUACUCUAGUAAUGGAAAUUUGUACACAUCCCAAUGUGAAGUGAAAGGCAUUCAAAUUUUAUAGUGGUUAAAUUAUAUUCAAAGCUCUUGAAAUACAUUGCCAACUUCACUCCAGAAAGGUUGGACCAAUUUACAAUUUUAACGAGAGUGCCAGCUUACCUAAACCAUCAUUAACCCUGGUUAGCCAUUGUUUAAAAAAAAAAAAAAAACCUUUAUCCAUUGUUAAGUACAAGAAUAAUAUUGGUGGUGAAACAUUUUUAUAUUACAUUUUUAAGAAAAAAAGCAGAUUUCAAAAUAGCAUGUAUGUUAUAACCCAAUUUCAAAAAAUGUUUGAGUACGUGUGUGUAUGUUUAUUAGAAAUACAUCCAUCUAAAGAUUCGUAUGUGUAUAUGUGUGUGUAUAUGUGAGUUAUGUACAGCGUUUUCAGUGUUAUUUCUGGGUGGUGGACAGGUAUAAAUAUGGGUAAUUUUUAGCCUUAGGUAUUUUAUGUUCAAGUACUACUGCAAUAAACAAGUAUUGUUUUAGUAAUAACUUGAAUUUACCUCUUAAAAUUGUUUUAAUUAAACAUCAACUUUAGCCAGACCAUAUUAUUUUAUAUGAGAAUAUAAACCAUGUUUUGUAUUUGUCUGCUGGCUGUAUAUAUAGGAUCAGAGGAGACAUUUGGCUGUUUUAUUAGAUGGAGAAGAGUAGGUGUGCAGUAAGGACUAACUGUUAAGUAGAGAAUGAUGAAAAAAGAGAGCAGAAAGAAUGAAUUCAUGAAUAUUAUUUUCCAAAUUAGCUGGAGAAAUUAGUCAUCAAAGACCAACUGCAGCUCUUCCAGCAGCCAUUGUCUUUCUAUUUUAAUGUGACCAAAUAUUUCACGUAGACUCAAAACACUUUUUUACUGCUUUUUAUUUUAGUUUUCACAGUUGUUGUUUUUUCUGUUCUAAAACUAUGUAUUAGAUUUAACAGGAAUAAUUUUCUUUGUUAACAAUUUCAAAAUAAACCAUUUUAUACUUUAAAA